CCCACGGUAUGAUGGGGCUAACGGCGGA
rnacentral:sRNA from 1 species